UAAUAUAUAAUAUAAUAGUAUAGUAUUAGUAUAUUGUAUUUAAUAGUUAUAUAUAAUAAUAAACUUAAUUCCCUACGGAGUUAAUAAUAUAAAUAUUAAUUAUAUAAUGUAUAAUAUAAAGAUAAUAUAGAUAUAAUAAUUAAUAUUAAAUAAGUAUAUAUAAUAGUUUAAUAUAAUUACUAAUAAGAUUAGUAAAUUAAAGAUAUCAGAUUAUUAGUCAGGUAACCAAUUAUAUUAA
rnacentral:tRNA from 1 species